AAACAGGUCUUGCCUCAGCCUUACCCUUCUUGCUGCUGCUUCUGUUGGGUUUCAGAGGGCUUGCAGACUUCUGCAAUGACUUCAUCUAUAUUACUUUAUAGUAAUUUAUCUUAGUCCAGGUGCAGUGCCUCACACCUGUAAUCCCAGCACUUUGGAAGGCUGAGCUGGGAGGAUUGCUUGAGGCUGGCAGUUCAAGACUUCUUCCAUUUUAAGGGGCCUUGUGAUUACAGCUGGUCCAUCUGGAUAUUCUAAGAUAUUCUCCCUAUUUUAAGGAAGAUGAAUAAGAAGAGGGAGCCUCUUCCAGGAAGAUAAAUGCCGAAAAAGCUACCUUUUCUCCAUCUGGGGACGGAUGAUACCAAAAUGAUGCCCCCUUCCAGGCUGAUAAGGAGAGAAAUCUGAAAUCUGAGGUGCAGUUGAUUUGAAUCCAGGAAAUCUAAGGAAAAAGUUCAAGCUCUUAAUCAUUUCAUACCCUUCUUGUUGCUAACUUAAACUUUUUUUUUAAAAAAGUUAAUCUUGUCUAUGAAGCAUGAAUCUAUAAUACUAGGGAAAAAACUGGCUAACUUGAAGAAAAAAUAAAUUGAAAUGAAAAGCAAUUAAUUCCUCUUAAUAUGAAUAAAGGAUGAUCUAAAUGCUUUUUGAGAAAUGAUUUCAAGUAAUGAAAUUUACAGGAAAAAAAAUCCUCUUUUCUGAAUAAGCAAUCAUGGUAUUAAUCCUAAGUUCUUUAAUCUUUAUAUUUACAUUUGUUCUUAAAGCUUGGUGUUUUCUACCAAAACCAUCUGUGUAUCUCUGUCUAUCUUCACGUGUUCUUUCUGUAUACAUUCAUGCAUGCGCACACACACAGAGAUUUCAUUAUUUAUUCAUAAAAUAGUUGAAAAUCACUGCUUUGGCCCUUUUAACUGUAUAUAAAUCUCUCAGUUCUCUAGUGCUUGGAAAGGAAGUAUUUAUUUUAUUUUAUUUUUAUUUUAUUUAUUUUGAGAUAGAGUCUCACUCUGUCGCCCAGGCUGGAGUGCAGUGGUGCAAUCCUGGCUCACUGCAGCCUUAAUCUCCAAGGCUCAAGCUGUCCUCCCACCUCAGCUUCCCUCGUAGCUGGGACCACAGGCAUGCCACCACACCCAGCUAAUUUUUGUGUUUUUUUGGAGAGAUGGGGUUUCCUCAUGUUGCCCACGGUGGUCUGGAACUCCUGGGUUCAAGUGACUGGCCCUACCUUGGCCUCCCAAAGUUCUAUGAUUAGAGGCGUGAGUCACCCUCCCUCGCCAGGAAGUAUGACAAACAGAAUGAGCCUGCAACCAGAGUCUUUGAUUCAAACCCUUGCCCACCAUUCACUGACUGUUUGAGCCUCAGUAUCUUUAUGUGGAACAUGAGGUCUAUAACAGAACUUAACAAACAGGAGAUAAUUAUUAAUGAGAUUAAAUGCAAUGAGGAAUGUCAGUGGUACCCUCUCUGUAGAGGAACUUAAGGAGUUGAGCCUCCAAGCUUCUUUCUUGAUAUGCUGAUGAAAGACAUAGCCUAGUUUAUGGUGGGUGCUGCUUAAAUUCCAGCCCUCUCUCUUUCAGUCAACAGGCUUGGACUCAAAAUAAGCCCCAUUCAGGCUGAUUUGCCUGCCUAUAUCAGUCACAAACUGCACCUCUUGCAAAAACAGCUUUCCCUCCAAUGUGUACUGGCCUUGAAGAAGACUGAGAUAUAGGGAAACAAAGAUCUUUAAAAUCAAGUUACUGAAAGGUCACUGAAAUAAUAUACAGUGAAAGAUGGAUGAUGCCAUCAUUGUAUAAAUAAAGUCAGUACAACCAUUAAAGAACUUACAAGUAUGGGUUUUUUCUUCUCUAUGGUUAUGAUCAUGGAUAGAAUAAUUUUGAUAUGACCAUGAUUAUAUUAUAUCUGGAUGGUUUAGAUGUCUUUCAGAAAAUUAAUAUUUAUUCUUUGGCAUUAUAUAAUUUCUUAAAUAAACAUGAAGAGAGAAAUGUUUUGAAUAACAAUUCUCUAGUCCUAAAUUUUCUAUACUUAGCAUGUAUUGUUUCUUUUUUAAUAACUUACAACAACUUUAUUUUAAAAUUAGUUUAGGCAAUGUUUUUUGAAAUGGCUUCUUUGAAGUCGCUUCUUGGAAUGAUUAUAGCCAUUGUGUAAAGCCAGCAAUAAAAGAAGGAUUUGAAAGUAGAGAGUAGAACAGUAGUUACCAAGGGCUGGAGGCAGGGGUAGAGGAGAUAUUGAUCAAAGGACACAAAAUUUCAUUUAGGAGGAAUAAGUUAAAGAGACGCACUGUCACAUGGUGACUACAGUUAAUAACAAUGUGUUGUGUUAUUGAAAAUCCAUGAGGGUAGAUUUUAAGUGUUCUGACCACAAAAAAAAGCAUGUGAGGUAACACAUACAUUAAUUAGCUCUAUGUAGCCAUUCUAUAAUGUAUACAUGUUUCAAAACAACAUGUACACAAUAAAUAUAUAUGAUUUUUUAUUUGCUAGUUAAGAAAAGCGUUUGACACUUCAAAAAAUAAAAUACUUUUGGCAUAUGAAGAGUCAUUUACAAUCACGCCCCAGACUUUGUUGUUAAUAUUAGCAGGGAUAGUCAUUGCUUAUAAGGUCUUCACAUGCUUAUAAAAGAAGUUUCACUAAAUCUAGUUAGCAUUGAGAAGUGUUGACAAGAAGAGUUGAAAAUAAACCUCAAGACAACUUUCUGAUUUAAAAUUCUAUUUCUUGGUGUGUGAAUGUUAUUUUUGAGGAAACAUACACUUUAUUGCAACAUAAUAAAUAAAUGAGAAAAUAAGACAAUGUUAUUUUACCCAAUAUAGCAGGGUGGUCUUUAAAUAAGUGCAUAAAUAGCCCAUGAGAUAGUUUGAAGCUUUCAGCUUUGUCACCCUGUUGGUCUAGUCAAAUGACUCACAUAUUAGCAAUUUGUUUGCAAAACAUCUUCUUCUUAUAGUUUCCAUUGGAUUACAUAAGAUUGUUUUAUCCUGAUAGAUAAUCUGGACUUUCUUCACCAAAAGAAGGUUAAUAUUCCUACAAAUUUUAAACCAAAACAUUAAAUUUUAUACUGAAAAUACAUCUUCCUUGAGGUCAAGACUGUAGGGGAAGGCAGAUUUUUGGUGUCCUUAUCCAAAUGAUAGCCUUGCAAACCAGGCUGUUUUCAUGAGAGGAUUUUCUUACUUUAUUUAAAUCUUCUCUGAGCGUAACAGGAAAUAAAUCUGGAGACUCCAGCUUCUGGAGCUUUUCCACAAAGAAGAUAAUCUUUCUGAUUUAAAGACACAAUAAACCCUUCUUUCUCCAUGUUCUUCAAAAUCCAUAGAGCUCAAAUAACCACUUCUUUUCAUUCGCUAUAGAACAGCAUUAUUUCCAAAAUUGCAUUUAAAUCAUCUACAUACAGAAGGUUAAAUUUGUUUAAAAAUGAAUAAUUACAUUCAUUUCUUUACAUUUGUACUCUGAAUAAUGUGGAAUUUAAACUAGGUGUGGUUACACUUUAGCUAUGAGACAUUGGGCCGGUCACUUAUUCUCUUCAGAGGAUUAAAAGGAUAAAAUAUUUUAAAAAAUAUCUAUCUAUCUAUCUAUCUAUCUAUCUAUCUAUCUAUCUAUAGAUAGAUACACACACACACACACACACACACACAUAGAGUUCUUAUACAAACCCUCAUUAAAUGUAAUCCAAGUUGUAGACCCACAGUACUGAUUUAGGUAGGCAAAAUAUCAAAUUAACAACAACAAAAAAAUACCAGACAUAAAAAAUGUGUCUCAUAUUCUGGACACAUCAUUAUUCUCUGAAAUAUCCACAGACCACUCUAAUCUGAGCACACCCUAGGUGGACCAGGAACACAAGUAAUGUGAAUGACUGCAAUAAUAAAAUGAGUAUGUUAAACUAUCAAUUACUUGGCUUUGAUUCUGUGCUUGAAUUAUAUUCAAUGAGCCUCUGCUGUGUGCCAGACAAUGUUCUGGGCAGCAGCGACACACUGGUGAACAGUCCUUGCCUAUAUGGAGCUUACAUUUUAGAAGGCAAAGACAGACCAAUAAAUAAGUCAGCAAACAAUUCGUCAAUAUAACUUCAAAUAAUAACAAAUACUUUGAAGAAAAUCAACUAGGGUCGUGCCUGAGGGCUUGGGAAUUAAAUGUACUUUAGUUUGGAAACCAGAGAAGUCAUGGCUGAGGGAUUUAUAUCUUCACUGACAACUGAAGACCCAGAAGAAACCAGCAAGGCAAAGGCUGGGAAUCAAUGUCUCCAGCUGUGUCCUUGAGGAAGCAGGAAAUGCAAACGGCUCUAAAGGAAGAAGGAGCUUACUUAUUUGCCAAACAGAAAGAAAGUUGAUGAGAGCAAUGAAACCGCAAAUUAAUUAAGAUCAAGAAAACACUAACACCAAAACUCAAAGGAUGUUGGAAGCUUGAAAGAAGACCUCAAAGACAAUAUUUGGGCAUAUUUUAAGAGCAUCAUCAAUACUCUGUAUGGCACCGAGGAUGACUUAUGGAAAAACAGAGUUAUCAAUGACUUUUUGUUGGAAAUUAUCCAAAAGAGUAAGAUUCUGCAAAGAAGUUUGUGAAUUUAUUUACCAGUUUAUUUUUAUUUCUAUUUUCAUUUUACGAUUGCCUGAGAGUGAUAUUUGAAAAGUGUUAUAUUCAUAUAUGUCUAAAUUUUUCAACAAGUAUCAAAUAAAGAUUCUAAGUUAUAAGAAAGCAUUGUG
rnacentral:lncRNA from 1 species